rnacentral:rRNA from 1 species
UAGGGAAUCUUCCGCAAUGGACGAAAGUCUGACGGAGCAACGCCGCGUGAGUGAAGAAGGAUUUCGGUUCGUAAAACUCUGUUGUUAGGGAAGAAAAAAUGUAUAGUAACUAUAUACAAAAGAGACGGUACCUAACCAGAAAGCCACGGCUAACUACGUGCCAGCAGCCGCGGUAAUACGUAUGGGGCGAGCGUUGUCCGGAAUUAUUGGGCGUAAAGGGUACGUAGGCGGUCUAUUAAGUCAGGUGUGAAAGCGUGAGGCUUAACCUCGUUAAGCACUUGAAACUGAUAGACUUGAGUGAAGGAGAGGAAAGUAGAAUUCCUAGUGUAGCGGUGAAAUGCGUAGAUAUUAGGAGGAAUACCGGUGGCGAAGGCGACUUUCUGGACUUAUACUGACGCUCAGGUACGAAAGCGUGGGGAGCAAACAGG